CUGAAGCCGCAGUGAUCCUGGCUGUUAAUUUUCCUGGGUGUUUGCUCUGUUAUCUCACUUUCCUCGCUGUAAAAUGGGAUAUUAAUCCUUCCUUCUUUCAGAGCAUUAGUUAGGUUUUGUACAGUCCUUUGGCACUAUUAAUGAAGGAUUUCCUCUGCAAUUUAACUCACCUCUCCCCCUUUGCGCGGAUACUCCUGACUACACCAGGAACCUUUCUCUGCAGACUCAGAUUCGCUGUUUUGCAUUAGGAGCUGAUGAAUGUAAAGCUGAGAUUUUCCCCGAGAAUCUGGAAGAGAAGCUGAAAUCGCUUCAGUGAAAAGUGAGCUAGCGUGGUGAGUUUUAUAUCCCUAAAUUAGCACCGAAGAGAAGGGGAAAACUCAAGAAGUAAUUUCACAGUAAAGCCUCAGUAUGCUGAUGGCAAUUGGAGUACUCCAGGAUAAUCCACAGAGGUCUUGGAUGUUCAGACUCCUUCUGUGCCCUGACCCCAAUCUUGCCUAACACCAACAACCAGCCUUUACAACAACUACCGUGUCACACGUCCCUGGCCCUUAGCCUGUUCGUAAUCAGAGCUGCAACACCAGUGGAGUCUUUCAGUCAGUCAAAGGCAUUCAGCUGUCUCAGCAAGAGGGCACUAACGAAGAGGAACUGGAUGGAAAUGAAAGCUGCCCCUUUGAAAAGGAAAUAAUAAGAGCUGUGUCUCACCCGUGCCCUGCGCAGGCGGGUGAAAGGACAGUGCCUGGGCUUUGCUGGCCGCUGCCUUCCCCGGGGCUGAGCCUGCACCACUGGUAGGGUGAUGCUGAGUGAAUUCCCUGGCCGUGCUCUGACACCGUGGGGCGUUUUCACCGUUCUUUCCUUGUGCCUGGGACAGUGCGUGAGCUGGGAGUGUCUUUAGGACUUUUGGGCUCAAGCUGUUGCACGCAGCAUCUUGCUGUUGGGAGCUUUACAGCCCGUGAAAACCACCGCCAGUGGAAAGUGCCAGCAGAGGAGCUUCUCCUGGGGAAAAGCCCAUGUGUGUGGGUUUAGCAUGGGCAGAAGACCUUUUUCCAGGCAUGGAAAUUUAGCAGAAAGAGACGUAUAGCUGUUCUGGUGGCUCCCUUUAAUUGGGGUGCCGGAGGUGCCCUCUCGUCGGUGCAGGAUCCAGAGCGGGGCUUCAUCAGGGACAGGCCUGACUGGCACACUUGUUUAUUAGCGCUGGACAGUAUGUAGUAUUAUUACGU